rnacentral:lncRNA from 1 species
AGCUGAUGGCUUCCCAGAGAUGCCUCACAGUCCUGCGCAGACAGAGAGAAUGCAGAAGCUGGCAAAGGAUCCUCCACACGCAAGAUCAGAGGACGUCCCAGAUCAUCUUUUCUUUGUGGAUACUGCAGGUCUACGUGAAAUAGUGUGUUUUUGCGGGGUGCUGUCCCUUAGGACAAGUGAAGGGCUGAUGAGAAAGGAAACUGCGUGAGCCAGGUGUACAGUAAGGAGCAGACAACAUGGCACUGGCCAAGUGGAAAGGCUGUUUGCAUAAUAAGAUUACGAUGGGGUGGCCUGCCUUCCCUGUGUGCUACGUAAACAUCACACCUGAUCCAACCAAUCUGCAGGCCCUACAUAAAUCAGACACCGCCUCCUCCAGCCUGCCUAUAAAAUCUGGUACACUCCACGUGGGCCAGAAGUCCCAUUUGGAUGCCCCUCUCUUUCGCAAGAGAGAGAGCUGUUCUCCUUUCUCUUUCUUUUGCCUAUUACAUUCCGCUCCUAAAGUCACUUCUCAUGUAUGUCCACGUCCUUAAUCUUCUUGAUGCAAGACAAUGAACCCGGGUAUUUACCCCAGACAACAACACCACUUCACUAGGAGUUAAAAGAACUUGAAAUGCAAAUUCAUGGUCAUCUGGUUCCAAAGCCCAU